ACGUACACUCCUGCGGGAGGCAGCAGUGGGGAAUCUUGCGCAAUGGGCGAAAGCCUGACGCAGCCAUGCCGCGUGAAUGAUGAAGGUCUUAGGAUUGUAAAAUUCUUUCACCGGGGACGAUAAUGACGGUACCCGGAGAAGAAGCCCCGGCUAACUUCGUGCCAGCAGCCGCGGUAAUACGAAGGGGGCUAGCGUUGCUCGGAAUUACUGGGCGUAAAGGGAGCGUAGGCGGACAUUUAAGUCAGGGGUGAAAUCCCGGGGCUCAACCUCGGAAUUGCCUUUGAUACUGGGUGUCUUGAGUAUGAGAGAGGUGUGUGGAACUCCGAGUGUAGAGGUGAAAUUCGUAGAUAUUCGGAAGAACACCAGUGGCGAAGGCGACACACUGGCUCAUUACUGACGCUGAGGCUCGAAAGCGUGGGGAGCAAACAGGAUUAGAAACCCGAGUAGUCCC
rnacentral:rRNA from 1 species